UACGGAGGGAGCAAGCGUUACUCGGAAUUAUUGGGCGUAAAGGGCGCGUAGGCGAUUUGAAAAGUCUUGUGUGAAAGCCCCGAGCUUAACUCGGGAAGUGCACAAGAAACUGUUGAAUUUGAGUUCCGGAGAGGAAGGCAGAAUUCCCGGUGUAGCGGUGAAAUGCGUAGAUAUCGGGAGGAAUACCAGUGGCGAAGGCGGUCGACUGGGCCAGUACUGACGCUGAGGCGCGACAGCGUGGGGAGCAAACAGG
rnacentral:rRNA from 1 species